GAGGAGCAGAAUAUAACAUGAAAAGCUAUAGCACUGGAAAAAGGCCAGCUGGUUCAACAUGCCAGUCCUUUUAAAGCAGAGGCAGAAAAAGAAGGGGGCUACGGAUCACUUAGACUAUGAUCAGUGAAACAGCAGCUGAUCAGAGAGGUGCAGUCUUUAGAACAAUGUUAGCUUUUGCAGACCCAGGAAGCAGAAUAAUAUUUUUCAAACUGAAGACCUCAUUCCCAUCGUAACAGAACAAACCUGCUGAACAGAUCUUUCAGAGCUGCAGAUCCUGUCCUCUCUCUGCCUGGCACGAACCCCAGCUCGACGGGCGUCGGCCGAGUUGCCUCAGCCCUGCAGGUCUGUGACCUCUGUUCCUGCCCAUACCACAUUCCUGUCCUCCGGGUGGAAACUGCGCGAGAAAGUGCAGGAUGCGCCUUGGCUUAGCUCACCCCGCUCCAGCCGCGCUGGCUCCCGCACUGAAUCCUGGUAAAAUGCAGUAAAGGAUUUAAGGUUAUCGUCUGUCUCUCUAACUUCUGACAUCUCUUUAUAACAAGAAAGAGUCACAGCCAACUGUAACAGGAGGGCAACACAAUGAAUCCUGGUGUUUUAUGAGAACAUGGAGCUGCAUAUCACAGUACCUUUUUUCCAUGGGUUAAGGGAAACUGUUCUAACAUUCCCAGCUUCUGCUGCCCAGGUACCUUCUGCUGAAGCAAUCCUUUGUUUCCAUGGAGGGGAACAUCCAGGUGUCGGCUGAAAAUUUGCCAUGCAUGAAGAAAAGCACCUGCUCUGGUUCCAAGGCACAUUAUGUGGCUGCAGAGGCUGGGGAUGUGAUCCUGUCCUUUACCUGAAACUUAAAAAUGUUAGUGAGUGAUGAAUUAUACUGACAAAUGUCUCUGAAUCAUGUGGGAAAUACCUCUGACAGAGGAAAGUCUUACCAAUAAUUGAGUUUUAGAGGCUUCUAAAAUGACCAAAACAGUAUUUGUUGAUACAUCUAGUUGUCCUGACUCUAAAGUUCAUGUCUUUGAGCCAGUCAGGAUUCCAGCUUUCCCCAAGAUUUCUGUCUUCCACUGUAAUGCACUCCUACAAAUCUUGUUGAUUGAUAUGUAUAUACAUUGCUUAAACAGAAAUUAAGGUUGUCAGGUGGAUAGCAAUAGGUUUGUCUUCAGGUGAGAUCAAGGACCAGCACUUCGGCACUGAAGCUAAGGGGAUGCUGAGAGAAGAAAAUGUGGAAAAGCUACCUGCUGUUCUGAGCAUGGAUGCUGCAAUGCUCAUGGUGGGGAGCAGGACUUGCUUGAAGAUUUUUUAGAGGUCGUUCAGGAAUUAGGAAGGAAUUUUUUACUGCAGUUUUGGCUCUACUGAGCCAAGCUGAAACAUGUUGUGUUCUUCUCUGCCCUCAGACCAUUUAGUGUUUGGCAAGCCUUCCUCUAAAAGAAAAAAAAUUAAAAGGAAGUACUGGAAGAAAAAAAAUUAAGUGGAAGACAUAAAAGAACACAUUUGUGUAUAUAUAUAUAUGUCUGUGUGUGCAUGAAUAUGUAGGUAUAUGUUUAUGGUUGAACAAUAGAAGAAAAAUUCCAAAGGUCAAACCCAGAACUUCUGAAAGGUGCCAGAGGCAAUAAAAGUGCUGGCAGGAGCCAUAUGGGGAACUGGAAGUUGCCAGCUCCUCCACGUAUUUUUUUAAGGUUUUAUCAUAUGAAACACUGUGUGCCAGGAAAAGUAUCUAGCGGCUUACUGUUGGGCACCACUUCUUCCCUCUCAUCCUUUUCUACCUCACUGCAACAGGAGCACUCCUUCUCAGUACCUUUACUCAGCUGGCAAGUUAUCUGUGAUGUGGAACUGAUCUAGGCAAGGACAGAGAGGCCAACCUGCAGGUGAAUAACAGAGCUGCACAGAAUUACUUCCUAUUCAAAUGGAAGCCCAGAACAAUCAGGCCUUUAAUGUGUUACAAGUCAUUUGACUAUCCACAUUUUUGACUUUCUGUAAAUAAUGUGCUAAAUGGAUAAAAGAAUAAACCAUUUUUCCUUCUU